rnacentral:lncRNA from 1 species
AGCACCAAGGGAGAGAGACACCAUGGCUGCCUCCAGGAGUCUUCUGGUCCUGCUCUCUAUAGCCCUGCUGGCCCUGACCUCAGCUCAAAGGCUCAAUGAAGAUGAUGGAAGCGCUCUUCAAGAAGAAGAUGCCCUUGAAAUAGGAGACUCCAGCCAACAACAUGGUGAUAUACAUGAAGGGCUAAAUGAAAUAAACAACCAUUUUCAAGAUCAAAUAAGUCAGCAUGGUAAGGAAGCCAUCAAGUUCAAGAAAGGGAAGAAUGGCCCACGUGGUAGACGAAGCUCUGAUCCAGGAUCACCAGAGUGGACAUGAAAGAGAAGGAGGUGGCCAAGGAGGCCGUGGUCGCAGUGAACUAAAAGGCCAGAAUGGAAAAGGUAGCCAGAAAGGCAAGAAAGGAAAAGGUGGCCAGCAUCAACAGAAAGGAAAAGCUGGCCAGCAAAAACAGAAAGGAAAAGGUGGCCAGAAAACAAAGCGUGGAAAAGGUGGCCAGAGAAGCCAGCAGGAUAAUGAUCAAGAAGUUUACCAGGAGUAAACCACUGGGCCUGGCCUUUCCUCAAGUUCAAAGCAUCAAUAAAACUAGCAGC